AGUUUGAUUCUGGCUCAGGACGAACGCUGGCGGCGUGCUCAUACAUGCAAGUCGAACGAUAAGGUCUCUUCGGAGACACAUAAGUGGCGGACGGGUGAGUAAUGUGUAGAGAAUCUGCCCUAGAGUGGGGGACAACAGUUGGAAACGACUGCUAAUACCGCAUAUGCGCGUAGCUGAGAAGCUAUUCGUGAAAACUCCGGUGCUCUGGGAUGAGUCUGCAUCUGAUUAGCUAGUUGGGGGUGUAAUGGACCACCAAGGCGACGAUCAGUAGCUGGUUUGAGAGGAUGAUCAGCCACAAUGGGACUGAGACACGGCCCAUACUCCUACGGGAGGCAGCAGUAGGGAAUUUUGCGCAAUGGGGGGAACCCUGACGCCAGCAACGCCGCGUGAUUGAAUAAGCCCUUCGGGGUGUAAAGAUCUGUCAGUGGGGACGAAACUUGACGGUACCCACAGAGGAAGCAUCGGCUAACUCCGUGCCAGCCGCCGC
rnacentral:rRNA from 1 species